GGACGGUCUAAAACGCUCAACCGAACCUGGCGAACAAACGACCGCAAAAAUGUCCCCUCGAUUCAAACGACAGUCCCACGCUGAUGGACGAUUCGCUCCAGCUGACCCUUGAGUCCAUCAGAUGCCCCCCCCCCCCGCAUCCCCGGGGCAACGGGCAGCCCCAUUUGUCUACUCGAUGCGGCUAAACAGUCUGUCCGCCCAGCAGGUCCUCUCGGGCCGGACUCUCAGCCGCUGACCCGAACCGAUGAACGGCCGAGCCGUCUGUUGGCUUGCCUGUCGCAGCCUUGUUGGCACGAGGCUCGGCCUGGCUAGCCAGAACACGAAGAUGAUGCUGCUCAGUUUCGAUUGGUCGGAGAGUAUUGAAUUAAAUAUGAUAGAAAAUGCAAAGAUGUUUUUGUAUAAGACUUGUCUCCAUUGGGUCUCAUUAGAUUGCACCGGUGUGGCCAUCUGGUGAAUACAACGCAAUUUACUGCAAUGUGAUUGCACAAGAGGCUUUUUUCCCCCUCAGCGAGUUUUGACGUGCACAAAUAAAUCUCCAGGAGGUUAUAUGGUUAGAUGCUAGGAUGAGGGUUUCACAAUACAAAACUUAAUAUAAGUUUAAUAAAGUUCUUCCUUAUUUUCUUUGCCAAGAGUUGGUGAUGAAGUCGAAAUGGCAACAUGAGAAUUAGCCUGUGCGGUUUUUAAUCAAACAUUAGAGAUUCGUAGCGCGGGUUCCAUCAGAGGAAGCAACUUGAUUCAUCCCACUUGCAAUAUAUUCUUCUUUUCCUUACAGUACAAAGCCGCUAAGCCAAAAUCUGACUAUUUUUACAUCCUGUUACAGUACUUAUAUAAGUCCGGUUUUAGAGUUGCUCUUAAGCGAUGUCAGACAUCUAGUGGUGAACACUGUUAUUACAACUUAAAACGGCUCAUCCGCAUUUUAACUUUUCAAAAAUCUUUUGUAUUCUCCCUUUUCUUUUUGUAUCUAAUGUGACAAGUGGGGGGGGAAAAAAAAUAAAAAUUGACAGGCCGUCCAGUCUCAGCAAGCGCCAAGCGUCCCUAACACCAUGACGGCAACCAUAUGGUUGGUGACAUAUUGCUCUUCAUUACGCCUCAAAGCAACAACAAGCCUCCAGGGGCGAGCACUGACCCUCUGACAAAUCUCAUUCACACAGCAGCAUUACUUUUAUGAACAGAACAAAAGGCCCUCAUGGAGUGAGCUUGCAUUAACCACAUUGGGAGGAAUGGAAAGAUUGGCAGCAUGUGAAGAGGAUUACGCAAUGUUAUGCUGCGUAGGAGCCCUAGAUGUUCCAUUGUCUUCAAAGUAGAAAUUAUUUUUCACAGCUAGGCCUAAAAAGCACGAGAAAAGGGACUUGAUAUCGUAUUUAUGGAGAGCGGGCAUCAUGACACAAUCCAACCGAGGCGUUCUUUCGUGUAGGUGUUUAUAUGAAUACCUUUUGUGCUAAUCAUUUAACGACUAGAGUGUUAGGAAAAAGGCCUGAAUUAUUUCACUGGCAACGUUCGACAAGAAAAAGACAUUAUUUCACAUUAGAAAAUCCCUGGAGCAACUUGGACUAUAGAAAAAAAAAAGGACUAUAUAGAAAAUCAUUUGCAUGAAAGCCAGGAUGUUUUUACUCAAGAUGAAAACAUAGUGGGAACCUCAUUAACCCAAUUGCAAUGAGCCAGUCAGCGAUUGCGGAAAGGUCCGGACCCCUCGUCGCAUUCUCAUUACGACCGUCGACGGCAAGAGCAGUAAUAGCUUUGUCCGUAUGUCACUUGGAUUGCAAAGUAUCGCUGUUCUGCUCCCAGCGCAAAUAUGAUAUUGUUUCCACGGCUGUCUAAUGGAGGUGCUUUUUCCGGAUUAAGGCGAAUUUGUUGUUUUCGCCGUGUCCUCGUUUGCCCUCGUUUAGUCGGAACAAUAUGGCGUCAGGUAGAGAUAGAUGAGUUAUUAGUAUAUAUAGUGUACUGCAUAUACUUUUAUUUUUACAUUAGCUCAUCAUUUAGCAAGCUCGCUCAGAUGCGCGAGUACUCGUGAGUGUUGACGUUGGAGCGGGUCUGUGCCCGGAGUUUGCCGCUCCGACGGGGACCUUCGUGUGGAUUUGAGCCCAACUGUAAAUCAGAGGUGUUAUGAAAUGCAAUGGCCAUAUCACGCGGGGCAAUCACACUGCGAGGUUGACAUUUUGAAAAAAUCCCUCCUGUGUGAUCCCUGGUGAAGAAUGAUCGUCAUCUCAAUAGCGUUCUAUAAGAAAAAGGCUUUUGUGCCCGACAGUGGCUUAUCAUUGUUGGGGAGUUUGAAAUCCCCGCACGAACAAACUAAAUAAUGAUGAGAUGGAUUGACAAGUAGUUGACUUGAAACAAAAACGGCGGUAUGGGGAGAAUAUUUCUUUGCACUCAUAAAAUGUAAAUAUUCGAUUCUGUUAAUUGUAACAUGAUAUGAACUUAAGUUUCAAUAUUCAAGGAAAUUUUUUUUUCCAAACGAUAUUUAUGUGAUUUAGUCAAGUCGAUUAGUCGCCGAUGACGUUACCGAUUUUUUUUUCUGUAUAGUAGUAGUACUAAUUGACUAGUCCGUACGCCACAAGCAGUUUGUGCUCAGUGAUGUCUUCACCAGUAUGCAGUACCAAUCAGGGCAAGGAACCGCAGAACUGAGGUCUUGAGUGAUUGCCUGGCUGCGGAAUAACUCAAUUUUAUGUUUUUUUUAAAAAAAGGGACGAGGAGCAGAAAACAGUCAAAGAAAGUCGGCUUAAAUUUUAACAGGUCUCACAAGCGCCCCUGUCUAUUUUUUUCACAGCAGAAAAAAAGCUAACCACAGACAAACGUGUGACAAUGAAUCAGUGAGACGGCAGCGACUUUUAACGAUAGCAUGACAUUUAAACAAACAGUGGCGUGUGUGAGGAUAAAUCUGUAAUGGCUUGAAAAAAAAAUAAGGCAAAUCAGAAAUCUUAGGGGACAAAUAUGCUUUACGACCUUCCAAAGCUGUUCUUCAAGAAGUAUUUUACUGCUGUCUGCGCUACGGCUUGGUGCAGUGCAUUAUGGGAUGUUUUAAUAAGGCCACCAUAGCCCCGCCCACUGUCCUUUAUGAGAGUGCAUUUCUGAAAGUCACAUAGUUGCUCAGUCUAAGGUGUUAUUUUAACCCAUUUAUUACUAAAGAAGGUUUUGGACAAGGUAGACGAAUCUGGGAGAAGGUGGGCUGCGCCGUUGUGGGAGUGGCUACAGUUAAAUCAUAGCCAAUCAAGGCAAGCCAAUCAAUGACAACAUUUGACAACACAAAACUACUAUUUCAAACCCAAUCGGUAGUGACUAGUCACUGUGUGGGCCUGAGCAGUUACAUGUUAAAAAUCCUAACCUGUACGGUAAAAAUGUUUUUAUGUCUGUGUGACCUUGCAAUAAGUAAUUAGCAUUUCCAUCAUGCCUGUGAGAUUGUUGUGGGAUUCAAAGAAACUGAAGCCUAACCCAUGGAGUGUUUCCUGCAGUUGCUCUGCAAUUCCAUGACUUAAUCAGUCUGUGCUAUAUAUUUCUUAAUUUUAGUGUGUUAGCUUAGAGGUCUCACUAGGGAGUUGAGUGUGUACGGGUUGCGUUGUGGAAUCUGAAAAUAUCAACAUCGCUUGUCGAUUCCACCGUUGCAAAUGUCAGCUCGCUACAUCGAA